UAGGGAAUCUUCGGCAAUGGGGGGAACCCUGACCGAGCAACGCCGCGUGAGUGAAGAAGGUUUUCGGAUCGUAAAGCUCUGUUGUUAAGGAAGAACGAGUGUGAGAAUGGAAAGUUCAUGCUGUGACGGUACUUAACCAGAAAGGGACGGCUAACUACGUGCCAGCAGCCGCGGUAAUACGUAGGUCCCGAGCGUUGUCCGGAUUUAUUGGGCGUAAAGCGAGCGCAGGCGGUUAGAUAAGUCUGAAGUUAAAGGCAGUGGCUCAACCGUGGAGGGUCAUUGGAAACUGGAAAACUUGAGUGCAGAAGAGGAAAGUGGAAUUCCAUGUGUAGCGGUGAAAUGCGCAGAGAUAUGGAGGAACACCAGUGGCGAAGGCGACUUUCUGGUCUGUAACUGACGCUGAUGUGCGAAAGCGUGGGGAUCAAACAGG
rnacentral:rRNA from 1 species